GGAAGAAGAUGGGCACUCUAACCCAAGGAGAGGAACAAGCCUCAGAAGAAAUUAACCCUGCUGACACCUUCAUCUCAGACUUCUGACUUCCAGAUCAAGAUGGAAGAAUUUCUCUGUGCACAUGUAUGAGACAGCCCUUUUUUGAUAUCAGGAAGUGGAAUCACCAGUAAAACAAAAUUCUUGAAGAAUUUUUCAGACCAUCUACUGAGAAACAGAGACCUGGAAAGUGGGUUGACUGGUUCAAGAUCAUGCAACCAGGAGUCCUUUAAAAGUAAAGAGCUUUCCUACUGGUCAGAGAAAGAAAGACAGAGACAUGCUCUGGCUGACCUGGAAGAAUGCAAAGCCCCAGAAUGUGGCAAAGUCUAUGGAUGCCACUGGAAGGAAUCUGAAAGAACAACCUGAGACUAUUAAGAGACAUGAGCAACACCCAGCUGACAACCAGCAAGGAAAUGGACAUUUCAACAGGGGAACUACUAGGGAAUGAUAUUGGCCAAAUUAUAGUCUAAUAUUAUGUGCAUGUAUGAAUAUGUUACA